GAUUCAGAAGAAAAGAAUUCCGUGGGAAGCUGGCGAUUGCCAUCACCGCCAACUUCAUAAACAGAAACAGCACAGCGGAAGCCAAGGUGGAAGAGAUUAGUGGUGUGGCUUUCAUCUUCAAUCAGAAAUUUUUUCAGGACCUUAAAGAAGAAACAGGCAUAGAUCUUGAGAACAUUGUUUACUACAAGGACUGCACCCACUAUUUUGUAAUGACAGCCAAGAAGCAGAGCCUGCUCGACAAAGGUGUCAUCAUUAACGUACGUACCUCUUGGCCGCGAUUUCCCGACUUCGCGACCUGGGCUGGUGACAUCAGCAGGUGUGAAGGCAGAUG
rnacentral:sRNA from 1 species